AUUCAGUUCCUCAGAGUUCAAAAAAGAAACACCAUCUGAACACACCCGGCCUCAGAAGCGAAGCAGAAUCAGGUUUGGUUAGUACUUGAAUGGGAGACCACCUGGGAAUACUGGGUAUGAUGGGUU
rnacentral:rRNA from 1 species